CGAUUCCAACUUCAUGGACUCGGGUUGCAGACUCCAAUCCGAACUGAGACUGUCUUUCAGAGAUUCGCUUCAUGUCGCCAUGUCGCUGCUCGUUGUAACAGCCAUUGUAGUACGUGUGUAGCCCAGGCCAUAAGGGGCAUGAUGAUUUGACGUCAUCCCCACCUUCCUCCGGUUUAUCACCGGCAGUCUCUCCAGAGUCCCUAACUUAAUAUUGGUAACUGAAGACAAGGGUUGCGCUCGUUGCGGGACUUAACCCAACAUCUCACGACACGAGCUGACGACAACCAUGCACCACCUGUCACCUUGAUAACCUCUAUCCUAUCUCUAAGACUUUGCAAGGGAUGUCAAGGCCUGGUAAGGUUCUUCGCGUUGCGUCGAAUUAAACCACAUACUCCACCGCUUGUGCGGGCCCCCGUCAAUUCCUUUAUGUUUCACACUUGCGUGCAUACUCCACAGGCGGAAUGCUUAUCGCGUUAGUUACGGCACCGAGUCACCCCGAUACCCAGCAUUCAUCG
rnacentral:rRNA from 1 species